rnacentral:misc_RNA from 1 species
AACGCACCUUGCGCUCCUUGGUAUUCCGAGGAGCAUGCCUGUUUGAGUGUCAUUAAAUUCUCAGUCUUUUUUCAGCUUUCUUUAAUGAUUGUUGAUUAAAGUUUGGAUGUGAAAGUUGCUGGUUUCUUGAUAGAUCAGCUCUUUUUAAAUGCAUAAGUUGAACCUUUUGUAGAUCAGCUUUGGUGUGAUAAAAUAAUAUACACUAUAGUUGUGAAAUGGCGUUUAGCUUCUAACUGUCUUAUUAACUUGGACAACAAUAUUAAUUAAUGUUUUGACCUCAAAUCAGGUAGGACUACCCGCUGAACUUAA